AGAAUGAAAUGAGCUCAAUGUUAAGAGGUGAUGUUUCACUACAAAAAUGAAGUAUUGCAAGUGCAAUUUUGUUAGCGAGGUCACCAAAACAGUUCAGUCACAUGUCUUAGUCAAGUCUUCUUUCUCUUAAGAAAAGACAAAAGACAAGGGAUCCUUAUAGGUGGUGUCCCAGAGGUGAUGGGCGAGGGAAGGUUGUGCGGAAGUAAUUUGGCCACCAAGUUAGUUUAAUUGGUAGAUUUAUUCUGAUUGUUUUACUUUCACUAAAUUGCUGCCUAAAUCUCCACACCUUUGGGUCAUACUGCAGUGAUACUCUCUGAUUACUAUGACUUGCCAUUCAAUGACAUUCUCGAUUGGAAUAAAUUUGCGGUCAUACUGAGGGAAAAGGAUGUAUAUGACCUAAAGCAAAUACUCAAGAACAUCACACAAGAAGAAUUUGUGACUUUGCACAACAAUUUAGUAAAGGUCCAGAAGCAUUUCCAAUGGAAUUCACCUCCUAUAAGACAUGAUGCCUUUCAUAUGGUCAUGUAUGAACUCUGGCUGCGUCAUCAUGUUAUCAAGUACUAAACCGGAAAUAGGCAUACGAUAAAAUCAGGUAUAGAAAGAGCUUAAUGCUGUAAAUAACUGCUUACACAGUUUGUCAUCGUUCUUUCUCCGUGUUUCUGGGCACGGGAGAUGGGUCCUAAUCGAUGCAAAGCUUCCGAGACUGAGAUCAUGAGAGAUUUUUUCAUGUGUAUUGUAUGUUAUCUUUUUGUACCUAUCAAGAAACAUUUUUUAGCACUUGUGACCCCUAAAGAGGGUGAAGAUUGAUUCUUGUUUGUCAACUGCAAAGGACAAAGUAAGUGUCAUUUGAUGUAAAUUAUUCAUUUAUUCUUCCAUUUCUGUUGAGGAACUACUAUCACCUGCUGUAGAAUGAAUACUCUUCUUGAAACUAA